UACGUAGGGCGCAAGCGUUGUCCGGAAUUAUUGGACGUAAAGAGCUCGUAGGCGGUUUGGUAAGUCCGGUGUGAAAGUCACAGGCUCAACCUGUGAAUGCCGCUGGAAACUGUCUGGCUAGAGUCCGGAAGGGGCGAGUGGAAUUCCUGGUGUAGCGGUGAAAUGCGCAGAUAUCAGGAGGAACACCAAUGGCGAAGGCAGCUCGCUGGGACGGUACUGACGCUGAGGCGCGAAAGCGUGGGGAGCGAACAGG
rnacentral:rRNA from 1 species